ensembl:lncRNA
AUUUUGUGGAGCCUAAAUUACACAAUUUUCUUCAUAAUGCAUGUAUUACAUGUUAAACAGGUUAAUGUAAAAUGAAUUAUGGCACUUCCAAGGCCUUUCCGUGAUGAUUAUUACGGACAUGUCAAUCAUGUUAUAUACUUAGGCAGCUGUAACGCGUUCAAUCAGUUAGCAAGUCAGAAAUAUCAGUUCCCUAGUACCAACUAGCACUUGAAUGCUGUAUUAUGCUGGCUUCACAUUUUCAUGGGAAAAUGGGAAUGUGUAACUCCGACAUGAUUGUGUUCAAGUGCUUUUGAAGUCGGAAUAAUUCUUAAACCAAUAAGAUUGACAACAUCAUUUUCUCAUUUCCCACUUGUAAUUCAUAUUUGGAGGUUCAUUCAAGUGAAACUUCCCAGUCGAAACCAGGAAUUUCCGAGAACUCCGAUGGCACCUGAACGAGGCAUUGGUAUGUGUAAAAGACAAUAGUAGGGUCUGGGUCGCGGCGUGUCCACCCCUCAUACCCAUUCACGACCACCACUCCAAAUCUUAGGCGAAAAUAACGGAAACUGAUCCAAGAUCAGUCCUGUACAGGCAACUUCAACACAAUGUAAUGCGGAGCGCGUUCCUGCUCGUCAACACAAUCGGCUGCAGGGGAGGUUACUUUCUGCGUUCGGUUUAUUUGUGAAUAUAAAAUUAAAUUAAUCUAAAUAGCGUAUAUUCUUAUUCUGUGCAGAAUCUGUGUAUUUUGACCUACAACCCAUGCGCAUCAUGACUUCAACAAAGGAAACUUGGAAUGUACCGGAUCCUCCUAUGCGAUCAUCCUCUUUCCCGUACUCUGUGCUUCCCAGCAAACAGUCCAGUCUGAGACUCAGCAGGUGAAAGGCAUCAUGGGACAGUCUUUCUCUUUUCAAGAGAGGGUGAUCAAGACUGCCAAUUUACUUUAUGGAGAACUUGAUAGUAUUGCAAAUGUGUACCCUGGUAAACGAGGCAAAAUCACCCUUGAGAAGAGAUUUGAAAACCGCCUCCACUUGAACAAUGUUACAAGAUACUUCACUCUGUCAGCCCUUCAGAUUGACGAUGCUGGGGUUUAUACUGUGGAGAAUACAGAUGAAGGGAAAAAAACAACAAAAUUUGAGCUCACUGUAUACAAUGUUGUUUCCAAACCUCAGGUGACAGAGUGUGACAGCAGCUCCUGUAGUGUGGUGUGUUCUGUGGACAAUGAAAAAGAGGUGACCUUGACCUUGUACAGGGGAGAGGAAAUACUAAACCAAACUCUCCAUUUGGAGGUAGAGGGAAAGAACUACAACUCCACCUACAGCUGUGUGGCUGCCAACCCUGUCAGCAUUGAGACAGUUCUUGUCCCAAAAUGUUGCAGUGAAGAUGGUCAUCCUAAUGAUGCUGACAGUAGCGAGAUGACUCUGGGUAUGGUUAUUAUUGCUGUAUUCUGCAUUCUGGUUGCCUCUGGGCUGGUUGGACUAGCAAUCUAUCUAAGGAAGAGUAGAAAUGAACACUCACAAGGCAGGUAUUUAUCUGUUACAGGUGUGAGCUCACUCCCCAAAGACAAAACAUCUUUAGCCUUGUUUUUUUUGUGUGUAUUUUUUUACAAUCAAUGGUAGUGUUUUGGAAAAGGUAGGAAAUGUUUGCUUGAACACAGGAUGCAGGUAAAAUAUAUACUACACUUCCUCUGCUUGGUCAGACAGUGUCAUUAUCCCAGACGACUUCUAAAUGUUGAAAAAGCAGAAGGCACACACACUCUUGACAAUGAUUACUUGAAAAGCUCAUCUCAUCUGACACUGUCUUAAAGACUGCAAGCACAGACACUGAUUUACAUAGUAACAAAUGAGUCCUGAGUGUUUACAGAACCUGUCCAGGGAGGUGAGCGUCUGUAUGUCUCUGUCAGUUAGUCGCACCUCACCUCACCUUCGGCCCAUAUUUACUUUCCUUUAUGUGUCUUCAUAGAUUCAGCCGAAAGAGUGCAAGUUGACAUUGAGGAUGCAACGAUAACUCCUAAAAAACGAACAGAUAACCAGGUUAGGAAAAAUGUUACAGGCUUAUUGACAAUACGGCAGCUUUAGCAGCCCUCAUGUCUACAACUGUCAGUGGGUUCAUGUGGCAUUGAGUUGCACAGACCACCUGAGUUUGAUACCAGGCCUGAUGUCAUUGCAACCAGUUUUG